rnacentral:lncRNA from 1 species
CUAGCUGUGGCUUUCCAAAGAAAUUCUUUCUGUAGUAAAUAAUUUGCAGGGUGUGCUGAGUUUUAUGAUCAUCAAACAGGACCUCAGAAUGUUGGAAAAUUGUUUUAACAAGUCUUUACGUAAGAGUAUGGUGAGUUCUUUACCUGUUUGUUGCUGUUGUAAUCAGGACCUUUCCAGGCAGUCUUCUCUGUAGACAUUUCAUUAGGGCUCUCAGGCUCUGCCAUGCGUUUCUGUGCCUGAGUAAGGAAUUACACUGAGCCUAUCAAACMUUGCAGUGGUCACAUCUUACUGUAAUUUGGAGGCAUUUAUGGARAAGAGGUGAUUUUAGUUCUGGGAGGAGGGAACGUGUCUACAGGUUACUAUUAAAAUCAUAAAAUGCAGAUGAAGACUGGCUUGUGCAGAAUCCUUCUGCUAUCUUAUGCAGACAAAAGGGAAUCCUAAACCAGGUUUUAGUACAAGAAAGGCUGGACCUGUGAGACCUGAGGGAAAAGGGCUGUUUGAAAUGAUACAAAAGGACCAAGCCUGGAGGUGGAGUGUCUGUCCCUCAUCAAUACCUCAGCUUGAAAAAGACAUGAGAAGAAUGUGAAUACAUCUGCUUGUGAGCUCCAAGGCCUCUUCCUACAGGUGGAGACAAGUGAUUCUGUGAUGUUACUGUCUUCAGCCUCUGGCACAGAAGGUGGUGCCAGUCCAACAUUUCAGAGUAAAGCUGAUGGUGGCCUACUUUGAUGCGUAAUUGAGGUACUGAUGCCCUUUUCAUCUAGGCUGCACUUCAAGCAGAUUUUCUUUCCAGAAACAUCAGUGUUAAGGGUGGGUAUCAGUAAAAGGAUUAAAGUUUGUACAUUCUACAAGAAUAAUAAAUKAUGUAUUAAAUGACUCCUCCUUGGUUUAAAUGAUUG